rnacentral:rRNA from 1 species
CCUACGGUAGGCAGCAGUGAGGAAUAUUGGUCAAUGGACGAGAGUCUGAACCAGCCAAGUAUCGUGAAGGAUGACUGCCCUAUGGGUUGUAAACUUCUUUUAUAAAGGAAUAAAACGAGGCACGUGUGCCUCUUUGCAUGUACUUUAUGAAUAAGGAUCGGCUAACUCCUUGCCCGCAGCCGCGGUAAUACGGAGGAUCCGAGCGUUAUCCGGAUUUAUUGGGUUUAAAGGGAGCGUAGGUGGGAUGUUAAGUGAGCUGUGAAAGUUUGGGGCUCAACCGGAGAAUUGCAAUUGAUACUGGCAGUCUUGAGUACAGUUGAGGAAGGCGGAAUUCGUGGUGUAGCGGUGAAAUGCUUAGAUAUGACGAAGAACCCCGAUUGCGAAGGCAGCUUACUAAACUGUGACUGACAUUGAUGCUCGAAAGUGUGGGUAUCAAACAGGAGUAGAUACCCUGGUAGUC